ACUCCUACGGGAGGCAGCAGUGGGGAAUUUUGGACAAUGGGCGAAAGCCUGAUCCAGCAAUGCCGCGUGAGUGAAGAAGGCCUUCGGGUUGUAAAGCUCUUUUGUCAGGGAAGAAACGGUGAAAGCUAAUAUCUUUUGCUAAUGACGGUACCUGAAGAAUAAGCACCGGCUAACUACGUGCCAGCAGCCGCGGUAAUACGUAGGGUGCAAGCGUUAAUCGGAAUUACUGGGCGUAAAGCGUGCGCAGGCGGUUUUGUAAGUCUGAUGUGAAAUCCCCGGGCUCAACCUGGGAAUUGCAUUGGAGACUGCAAGGCUAGAAUCUGGCAGAGAGGGGUAGAAUUCCACGUGUAGCAGUGAAAUGCGUAGAUAUGUGGAGGAACACCGAUGGCGAAGGCAGCCCCCUGGGUCAAGAUUGACGCUCAUGCACGAAAGCGUGGGGAGCAAACAGGAUUAGAAACCCUAGUAGUCCCA
rnacentral:rRNA from 1 species